rnacentral:tRNA from 2 species
GCGGGAGUAGCUCAGUUGGUAGAGUACCUGCCUUCCAAGCAGGGCGUCGCGGGUUCGAGUCCCGUCUCCCGCUCCA